rnacentral:lncRNA from 1 species
UGUCUUCUAGGUCUGACAUCAGAGAUGAAGCUGGCUGUGCCCUGGGGACACAUCGCUGCCAAACUCUGGGGCUCCCAGCAGGGCCCCCCGGUUCUUUGCCUGCACGGCUGGCUGGACAAUGCCAACUCCUUUGACAGACUCAUCCCUCUUCUCCCAAAAGGUAGGGCUGAAGGGAAGCGAGGGGCAGCAGGGCAUAGACUGCAGGUGAGAGGUGGGGGGAGACGUCUGACCUAGGUGCCUUCUCUUAACCCCUGUCUCUCGUCUCAGACUUUCAUUACGUUGCCAUGGAUUUCGGGGGACAUGGGCUCUCAUCGCAUUACAGCCCAGGUCUCCCGUAUUACCAGCAAAACUUUGUGAUUGAGGUCCAGAGAGUUGUAGCAGGUAAAUAAGAGGCCGAGUGUGUGUUUGUGUGUGUGUGUGUGUGUGUGUGUGUGUGUGUGUGUGUGUAGGGGUGCACUGGGGACAUCCCCUGUCCUCUCUGGAGUGGGGUGUGGUAACCAGGUAGCGAUCCCGGCCUGGGAGUGACCUGGGGUCUGGCCCUAGUCCUGCCACGAAUUCAUGGGUGACUCUGGGAGAGCUGGAGAGGACGGGCCAAAGAAGAGCUCUAUUCCUCCUGUGGGUUCUGCUCCCGCAGGGAAGCUGGGGUCCCUCUGAGCUAGUUUCCUGAGUGGGGCACCCCAGAUGCUGGGGACGGAUGUCGUGACCUCAGGGACUGCAGGACAGAGGUUUGCGGGAGGCUGGGCCCAUCCAAAGCUGGCUCCGUAUGUUUUCAGCUUUGAAAUGGAAUCGUUUUUCCAUCAUGGGCCACAGUUUUGGUGAGUACACGUUACACUUGGGCGGGCGGGGGGCUGACUGGGCUGGGGGGCUGCGAGGGAGGGAGAAAAUCGGUACACCAGUACCCUGCACUUCUGGGCACUGCAAGGAGAGGGGAAGGGGUGUGCGGGCGCUAUGGGCGCUCUGCCCUUUGGCCUGAGGCAACUCCCCCAAGGGACAUACGG